GACGAAGGGGGGCUAGCGUUGCUCGGAAUUACUGGGCGUAAAGCGCGUGUAGGCGGCUGUUCAAGUUGGGCGUGAAAGCCUUGGGCUUAACCCAAGAAAUGCGCUCAAUACUGGAUAGCUAGAGGACCGGAGAGGAUAGUGGAAUUCCCAGUGUAGUGGUGAAAUACGUAGAGAUUGGGAAGAACACCAGUGGCGAAGGCGACACACUGGGCCAUUACUGACGCUGAGGCGGCGAAAGCGUGGGGAGCAAACAGGG
rnacentral:rRNA from 1 species